rnacentral:rRNA from 1 species
GUCCACGCCGUAAACGAUGAAUACUAGGUGUCGGGGAGCAAAGCUCUUCGGUGCCGCCGCUAACGCAAUAAGUAUUCCACCUGGGGAGUACGUUCGCAAGAAUGAAACUCAAAGGAAUUGACGGGGACCCCGCACAAGCGGUGGAGCAUGUGGUUUAAUUCGAAGCAACGCGAAGAACCUUACCAAGUCUUGACAUCGGAAUGACCGUCCUAUAACUAGGGCUUCCCUACGGGGCAUUCCAGACAGGUGGUGCAUGGUUGUCGU